GUUUUAUUUUUCUACAUUCUCCAAAGAAUUAAAGGGACACUAUAGUCACCUGAACAACUUCAGCUUAAUGAGAAAAUACAGUGUUUACAUUGAAAGCUAGGAACACCUCCAGUUGCAGUCACUCAGAGUGAACCAGAGGGACUUCUGAGUUGAUGGAGGCAUUAUAUGCCUCCAUCCACUCAGAUCUACUGUGCACGAGCAUCCUGUGAUUCAGUAUCUCCUCCCACUGCAUGCAGACACUGAACUUUCCUCAUAGAGAUUCAUUGAUUCAAUUCAUCUCUAUGAGGAGAUGCUGACUGGCCAGGGCUGUGUUUGAAUCAUGCUGGCUCUGCCCCUGAUCUGCCUCCUUGUCAGUUUCAGCCAAUCCUAUGGGGAAGCACUGUGAUUGGAUCAGGCUAUCACAUGUCAGCAAACUGCUUGUUUUUCCUGAGUCUAACAGCAUGCAGAUUUACAGCUUCUGGCUUGAAUACAGUAAGAUUUUUACUUUAUUUAUGGAGGCAUGAGGGGCCCAUGGGGGUUAGAUGGUAAUGUUAACACUAUAGGGUCAGGAAUACAUGUAGUUGCACUGGUGAGUAUAGUGUCCCUUUAACCUAUUAAUAAGGUCAUAAUUUCCAAC